rnacentral:rRNA from 1 species
GGAUGAACGCUAGCGACAGGCCUAACACAUGCAAGUCGAGGGGCAGCACAAGGAGCAAUCUGAGGUGGCGACCGGCGCACGGGUGAGUAACACGUAUGCAACCUGCCUGUAGCGGGGAAUAACCCGUUGAAAGACGGACUAAUACCGCAUAAUACUAAAUUACUGCAUGGUAAUUUAUUUAAACAUUUAUGGCUUACAGAUGGGCAUGCGCAUGAUUAGCUAGUUGGAGAGGUAACGGCUCCCCAAGGCAACGAUCAUUAGGGGUUCUGAGAGGAAGGUCCCCCCACACUGGUACUGAGACACGGACCAGACUCCUACGGGAGGCAGCAGUGAGGAAUAUUGGUCAAUGGACGAGAGUCUGAACCAGCCAAGUCGCGUGCAGGAAGAAAUGUCCUAUGGAUUGUAAACUGCUUUUGCAGGGGAAUAAAGUGCAUCACGUGUGAUGUUUUGUAUGUACUCUGCGAAUAAGGAUCGGCUAACUCCGUGCCAGCCGCCGC